GCAUUGACGGUUUAGCUGGAAAAUUCUCACCUUCCGUGUGGGAGACUCUGGUUCGAUUCCUGGCCAAUGCA
rnacentral:tRNA from 1 species